GAACCAAGCUCACCCACAUCCCCAGUCAACUGGUAACGUGGCAGGAAGAGAAAGGUCACGUGGCAGCGCGGAAGCUGACCUGCAUGACUCCUCCUCCCGGAACACAGGGCGCUGGGGGCCCACCCUAACUCAGAUGACCUCAUCUUAGUUACAUCCGCCAAGGCCCUGUUUUCAAAUAAGGUCACGUGCUGAGGUUCCGGGGUCGGGGGACGUGAAUGAACCCAGCAGAACUUCCAGUGGCCGCAUGCUGGGCACAAGGGGACUCAACGUGGAGGGGCUGCAGGAAUCGGGGCUGGAGUUUGGUGCCCAAUUUGGGCUCCAACGCCGGCCUGGCCGUUUGGUAGCUGUUUGGUCUUGGACAGGAUAACGAUCGUGCCCACCUGGCCGGCCUGCAGUGAGGAUGGACCAGAGACCAGCAGGAAGCCCCCUCCUCGCCACGGCCCCCAGUGCCUGGCCGAGGGCCGGUGCUCAGCACAAACCAGCCUCACUGAGUGUGUGGCUUGGGUCCCGGCCCCUGGAGAUGGUCAAGGAGAGUCUUGCGUACCUUGUCUCUCUCCCGAAUACUUUGGUCCA